rnacentral:tRNA from 2 species
UGGGGGAUCGUCCAAUGGUAGGACAGCGGACUCUGACUCCGUCAAUCUAGGUUCGAAUCCUAGUCCCCCAGCCA